CCGAUCCGGCUGUCGGUUGUGUGGUCGGAACGAACGAUCACCGAUCGUCAGUAGUAGUGUGUGGAGGAAGCUGACAAUUUGUACCAGUUUAGCAUUCGCGUAAGAUUAUUUACGGUCGGCAAAACCUACAAUAAGAAAAGACUAGCUUUUUAACACAGUAACUAUGCCGGAAAGAAAGUUUUCUCUUACGGAAAUUGUUGCACAAGUGCAAGUUGCAUCUGAAGAGCAUCGAGGAUCGGAUCAGUAAGUCGCUUCAUAGACUCACCGCUUGUUCUGGCUUGUUUACAUAUACCACCAAGGACAACAGCCCAGAAAUGCAAUUGAAUUGUUUUUAAGCCCGAAAAUACUACUGCCGCAACAGUAAAACCAUAUGAAUUUUAUCAAACUUACCUUGCAAGAACAGUUUACGAUUGUCGAAACCAAGCCACCUACUAACCAACUUUUGUUUUGUCGGUGAAAGUUUUUGUUCAGCUUGCCCGAGGGAAUCAACGACACUGCCGUGUACCAUAUAAUACACCGGACAAGCACAUGCAAUUUCACUGGUUAUUGUUUCUCUUUUUAAUUUAUCCGAAUUUCCUUUGGUUUGCCACGUUUUGGAAUGCUGGCGUGCGGAUAUGUUUUCACCGAAA